GGCUAUGGAGGCUCGCUUAAUGAGGAGCUGCGAGGCCCCCUGCUACUUGCAGUGGGAUGAAGAGCUGAUCAGCCUAACCCGCAGGUGCAUUUCAGAUAAGCCAGCAGACAUGGGUCUUAAGAAUGUAGCUCCUAGACAGCAGCAGGCUGAGCAGAAAUACAGGUCACCUGGUCCUAGGAUUCCCAACUGUGGUGGAGAAUCCCAGCUGGUUAAGGUAAGCCGAGGCAAUUGCCAUCAGGUCUUAGCAGUGCUAUGCAAUGUGUUCCUGUUCAUUCCUUGUUGUUGUUUUGUGUUGUGUGUGUUUCUUUUAGGUGGCAAAUCCGAGCUGGGUAAGGUAAGCAGAGGCAAUUGCCAUCAGGUCUUGCCUGUGCUAUGCAGUGUGUUCCUUUUCAUUGGGGGUGUUGUUGGGCCUCGUGGGGUGCAAGGUCUCCAUCUUAUUGAUUCUACCCCUGUUUAGGGGUGCCAGUCGGUCUGGCCUCAUAACUCCUGAGGUCUUGGCAAUGUCCUAGGCUAAUGCCUCCACAGGCGUUCCUUUGCCUCUGUCACCUGCUGGAGACUUGACUUCCCAGAGCUGUCUGCCUCUUGACAGCUCUCAGCUGUCUGCCCCUCAUCACAGGCCAGGCCAUUUUAUAAAACCCUGAAAUCUCACAGCAACUCUCAUGAGACCUGGCGAUCUCACUAUUGAUCACACGAGAGUUUGGAGUGUGAUCUUGCAAUAUGCUAACAACGUCCCAUGAGACCACAUCAGUGUCGGGUGACACUAGGUCACCCGACCACGGGAGCCAGUAGGGCCUGCCGAUCUCAGCAGGUGGGGGUUGGGACACGUCUGAGGGCGCAGCAUUCCUGCCCUGGUUGGGAUCGUUCCCACCGUAGCCCUCUGCACAUGGGAGGUGAGGCCUAGAGAUGUUGGGACCCUGACAGGUGUGUACGAAUGGUUCAAUAGCAAACUGGUCUGCUGCGAACCAGGCUGGUUCGAUGGUUUGAUCAUGAACCAGACAGGCCUUCAGGAAAGGUGGUCCAGUCCAAGAUCAAGCCAAAUCAGCCCUGACCAGGAGGACAUGGCUCCCAUUUGGCCGUCCUCUGUGAGAAGUGGCUACAUGCAUGGGAUGGCCAAUGGGGUCAGUGUGGUGAUGCCGCUACUUAUGCGCCACACAUGCUUCCUUCCUCCAACUUUGCAGGCUUUGCGGCUCCCGCCCACCCUCCCUAGUUCAGUGAGAGAUUAGCUGGUCGCUUAUGGGCCGAGUAGGAAUUUUUGGUCUUCACCUGAUUGGCUUUGUGUGGAGAUUUUUUCGCCUACUCCUCACUGAGUGUCUUUUAAAGGGAAUAACCCCCCUUUUAGGGGUGGGAGUCUGGUUGCAGGUUAAGUGGUCACUUUGGCAGGUGAGUGUGGGCUUUGGAGGUUAAGACCUCGAUUGGUGCUCAGCCAUAGGUACCUUUCAGGUAGAGAUGGUUUCAUGUAACAAUCUUUCAGGGUUUUGUGGCCCAGGGGUGUCUGAGGUGGCCAGAGCCUAAGGGGUAUACUCAUGGGUCAAAUGGGCCGUAAGCCAGAAUUUGGCUUUUAAAAAGCCAAAUCUUGUCACCUAGCGAAUGAACCACUUUUAGGGCACUGUUUAGCUGAUCCACUCAGAGCUUUGGGGCUGGAGGGGUAGUGACCAGUGUUUCCUCUAACAGGGAUUCCCAGAUGUUGACUACAACUCCCAGAAUCCAAAGCUACAAUGGAUUUUGCCUGGGGAUUAUAGGAGUUGUAGUCCACAACAUCUGGGGAUCCAUGUUGGAGGGAACAGUGGUGGUGACCCUGGUGGCUACCUCCUUGACACAGUAAACUGUGUGGCUUGGUGGGGCUAUGCUGAGGUUUCAUAUGGCAUCUGCCAAGCCUGGCUGCUUUGCCCAACAGUGAGAGGAGCUCAACCCUCGCUAGGAGGCUGUGCCUACCCAAAAAGGGGAUUGGAGUUGCCCACACUCUAGUUUAGGGAGGUUAUAGUUAUAUCUGUUGCAGAUCUCUGCAUAGUUUAUAGUUAAUAAAGUGGCCCUAGUUUUCAUCCAUA